rnacentral:tRNA from 1 species
CGCGGGGUGAAGCACCCCGGUAGCUCGUCAGGCUCAUAACCUGAAGGUCGCAGGUUCAAAUCCUGCCCCCGCAACCA